GGCAGCCGCAGAGCCGGGAACCACGAGACCCUGCAUGGCCGCCCUCUGCCCACUUGGCCCGGGGAUGCUACUGCACCGGGCAGAGUGCCAAGCGGUCAGUGCUUGUGGCAGAAGGACGGAAGAUGGCGUUAUGAGAAGUCGCAUGUUUCCUCUGCCGGCGGACUCCAAUCCUUUAUCCACGCAUACCUCGUGUCUCAGGUCAUGUGACGUAAAGGCAACGCAGCAGCACCGACUCCAGUACUGGGAUGCUGAUGUUCAACGUGCAAGCACUGCGGCAGAAGGUCCAGGGUCCCAGGUCCCAGCCUGUUUCAUAUUCAGUCCACAAACACUGGUUAAGGGCUCAUCCUAAAUCAGGUACUGUGGAAGAGCUAUCAAGACGAAAGGUAAGAUCCCUCUACCCUGGAAGACAAAGAACACAAAUCAGCUUGAUAAGGUUUACAAUCAUCCCCUUCAUUUGAACCAUUCUUGAUGAGACCCUCAGCAUUGUCAGUUUCAGAGGAGCUAGAAACUGGAGACACACUGAAGUAAAAUGCCAGAAAGAACCCGGACCAGAUGCCAAAGCUUUGCACCCAAGAGGAACACAAGGCUGAUACAGAGCUGAGGUCAGAUAGCCGUCAAACUGCUGGAGCUGGACGCCAGGACUGGCACGUGGGGGCAUGGGCAAGCCUGUGGAACAUCUCUGAUGUCGGAAGUGAAAGCGGUGCAGAGAGAGACACAGGAAAGAAACCUAAAGCUAGGCACGUGGGAGCUUUCCAUCGUGGGGAUUUUCUCCUAGACCUAGUGACCAGCCUCAGGGGAUAGUCCUCCGCUGGUCCUAAGGAUCCUGAAGGAAAGUUACUCGGCUCAAAAUAGCCUGGAGUUAAAACUCCCCUCUGGGUCCUCCCCACCAUUCUAUGCAAAACAAAGAACUCUCUAACCCGAAGGGAAAAAAAUGGACAUUGAGGUUGAUUACGCCCAGCUCCCAGCCAGUCCAACCUCUGGCCAAUCUCCAGAAUUCCUUGCCCUAGCCAUUUAAGAGAUAAUUACUCCGAACAACCUUGGAGAAGAACAGGCCCCCUUAAGACAGCAGAUUUCCACAUAUAUGCCUAUAUAUACUUACUCUUUUCUUGCGUAGCGCGGUAGCUCACUAAUCUGACUGCUGUCCCUUCUCGCCUCAUUAAAUGUGAUCUGUUCCUGUAAAAUGCUGGUCUCAUUCUUUUUCCGAACCUUGCCUUCUCUAACUCCCUCCCUCUACAGAUAGUAUCACCCGAUCAAGUAUCUAACUGUAGAGAUGGG
rnacentral:lncRNA from 1 species